rnacentral:rRNA from 1 species
AAAAACGACUCUCGGCAACGGAUAUCUCGGCUCACGCAUCGAUGAAGAACGUAGCAAAAUGCGAUACUUGGUGUGAAUUGCAGAAUCCCGUGAACCAUCGAGUUUUUGAACGCAAGUUGCGCCCGAAGCCAUUCGGCCGAGGGCACGUCUGCCUGGGCGUCAC